CCUACGGGAGGCAGCAGUGAGGAAUAUUGGUCAAUGGGCGCGAGCCUGAACCAGCCAAGUAGCGUGAAGGAUGACUGCCCUACGGGUUGUAAACUUCUUUUAUAAAGGAAUAAAGUGAUGCACGUGUGCCUUUUUGUAUGUACUUUAUGAAUAAGGAUCGGCUGACUCCGUGCCAGCAGCCGCGGUAAUACGGAGGAUCCGAGCGUUAUCCGGAUUUAUUGGGUUUAAAGGGAGAGUAGGUGGGUUGUUAAGUCAGUUGGGAAAGUUUGGGGCUCAACCGUAAAAUUGCAAUUGAUACUGGCAGUCUUGAGUGCAGUAGAGGUAGGCGGAAUUCGUGGUGUAGCGGUGAAAUGCUUAGAUAUCACGAAGAACUCCGAUUGCGAAGGCAGCUUACUAGACUGCCACUGACACUGAUGCUCGAAAGUGUGGGUAUCAAACAGGAUUAGAUACCCGAGUAGUC
rnacentral:rRNA from 1 species